ensembl:lncRNA
CAGCCACUGUUGUUCUCAUAGAUAUGAAUGAGUAGAUAGGACACGCCCCUUUUAGCUGCGUGCUACAGCGAGGCUAAGCUAGUGGGGGCAAAGUUUCAGUGCAUUCCGUUGAUGUAGACGGCGUGAAAACGGAAACAAGAAGUAUGCCGUCUCACUGUGCUGCAUACAGUUACACACUACGUCGUACGAUUGAGACAAGGAAACUCGGAAUGACUUUUCAUAGGUUUCCCAGAGACGAUGGGUGGAGGAGGAAUUGGAAGUUUGUCGGCUUAGACCUGGUGUCAUUCCAUCAGUGUUAAACUUCCCGGCUCAUCUUGGAAGAGUACGUGCCAGAAAGACCACGACCAAGCAGCCUUGAGAUCUUAGGCAGCGUCUCCCUGAGGUCCCUCUCUAUCUCCCCACACAUCCACCAACCACUGGAACACAUCUCCAAAGUUCUGCUGGGCCAGCUCAGCUUCCCCUCAGAAGAAGUUCCACCACCUGCCAGAUGAAGGAGCCUUUUGAGAGGCAGCUGACAUCGUGAUUGGACUGUACUUUGGUCUGUUCCAAUCCAGCUUCAGCUCCAGAGACGGCAGGCGGGACGAGUCAACGGAGGCCGGAUGGACGAAGGCAUGAAGCUGAGUACAAUCCAGAAAACAACAGAGGAGGAGUGCAGGGCCAGAACAAACAGAGUAGCAUCGUAUGUCUCUUAGAAAACAUCAUAGUAUAGCCUUUGGGAUGAAAAAAUGCCAUCAUAUACAUCGUAGAUUGUACAAAUAACAAGUCAAAGGAAAGAGACAUACAUUGUAGAAUUGUAGUAAUUGUGAGCUGACUGAUUUACUGAUUAUCAGUAUUUUAUUUUGUACUGAUUUACGGUAAUAAAUACAUUUUAAAGUGGUGCUACUUUUGCUCUGAACCCUUAUGUACUUGUGGUUGCUCUGUCUUCUGGAGUGAUUUGAUUGGCUAUACGUCACAAAUAAAACUCCUUUAACUUAACAUCAGUAAACAAAACAAAAAUGCAUCCACAAAGUUUUCUGUUAGAGUUUGUGUUCUUUUAAGUUUAACUGUAAGAUUUUAAAUAAUUUCAUUUACUGCAAAAGGAUAAGCUGCUCCAAAUGUCUCACUAAUAAUCAUUAUCAGCCCUCUAUACUCGACCACAGUUAGUACAGUCCGGUUCCACCUUCUAUAAAUCUGCUUGGAAUCUUCCACUUCCUGUUUGUCAAAGUGGCCUUCUACCUGGACAGGUUUUGUUGGAGCUCAUGCAACAAACAUUUUGGGUAACUGCACUUUAAUACGGAUGGAUGACACUGAAUUAGAGUCCGUUUUAAUGAGACUGAGUUAAGAUGUGUAGCUCUGUCAUUAAAUAGUAAAGUAUGUUUCAGAAAUCACAGAGAAAAGUCAGAAAUGUUUGCUAGGUUAGUGUUCCACAUGUUCUGUGGCCCAGCUAAAGCUGACUCUGUCUGACUUCUGGAUCUCUUGAGUUGCUUGUUGUUAAAAUAUCUUGCUAGAGGUGCUGAAGCUCAGCAAGUCUGAGGUGUUUGUUCA